rnacentral:rRNA from 1 species
GCGUGCAGGCGGUUUGGUAAGUUGGGUGUGAAAGCUCCAGGCUCAACCUGGAGAGGUCGCUCAAUACUGCCAGACUUGAGGACGGUAGAGGGAGGUGGAAUUCCGGGUGUAGUGGUGAAAUGCGUAGAUAUCCGGAGGAACACCAGUGGCGAAAGCGGCCUCCUGGCCCGUUCCUGACGCUCAGACGCGAAAGCUAGGGUAGCGAACG